rnacentral:rRNA from 1 species
UGGGGAAUUUUGCACAAUGGGGGCAACCCUGAUGCAGCGACGCCGCGUGAUUUAGAAGGCCUUCGGGUUGUAAAAAUCUUUUGUAUAGGAAGAAAAUGACAGUACUAUACGAAUAAGGUCCGUCUAAUUACGUGCCAGCAGCCGCGGUAAUACGUAAGGACCGAGCGUUGUCCGGAAUCAUUGGGCGUAAAGGGUACGUAGGCGGUUAAAAAAGUUAGAAGUGAAAGGCUAUAGCUCAACUAUAGUAAGCUUUUAAAACUGUUUAACUUGAGAGAUGGAAGGGAAAGAGGAAUUCCUAGUGUAGCGGUGAAAUGCGCAGAUAUUAGGAGGAAUACCGGUGGCGAAGGCGACUUUCUGGCCAUUAUCUGACGCUGAGGUACGAAAGCGUGGGUAGCAAACAGG